AAGUGGUAGGAGAGCGUUCUAUUUGCGUCGAAGGUAUACCGGUAAGGAGUGCUGGAGCGAAUAGAAGUGAGCAUGCAGGCAUGAGUAGCGAUAAUUAAUGUGAGAAUCAUUAACGCCGUAAACCCAAGGUUUCCUACGCGAUGCUCGUCAUCGUAGGGUUAGUCGGGUCCUAAGUCGAGUCCGAAAGGGGUAGACGAUGGCAAAUUGGUUAAUAUUCCAAUACCAACAUUAGUGUGCGAUGGAAGGACGCUUAGGGCUAAGGGGGCUAGCGGAUGGAAGUGCUAGUCUAAGGUCGUAGGAGGUUGUACAGGCAAAUCCGUAUAACAAUACUCCGAGAACUGAAAGGCUUUUUGAAGUCUUCGGAUGGAUAGAAGAACCCCUGAUGCCGUCGAGCCAAGAAAAGUUUCUAAGUUUAGCUAAUGUUGCCCGUACCGUAAACCGACACAGGUGGGUGGGAUGAGUAUUCUAAGGCGCGUGGAAGAACUCUCUUUAAGGAACUCUGCAAAAUAGCACCGUAUCUUCGGUAUAAGGUGUGGUUAGCUUUGUAUUAGGAUUUACUCCGAAAGCAAGGAAACUUACAACAAAGAGUCCCUCCCGACUGUUUACCAAAAACACAGCACUCUGCUAACUCGUAAGAGGAUGUAUAGGGUGUGACGCCUGCCCGGUGCUCGAAGGUUAAUUGAUGGGGUUAGCAUUAGCGAAGCUCUUGAUCGAAGCCCGAGUAAACGGCGGCCGUAACUAUAACGGUCCUAAGGUAGCGAAAUUCCUUGUCGGUUAAAUACCGACCUGCAUGAAUGGCGUAACGAGAUGGGAGCUGUCUCAAAGAGGGAUCCAGUGAAAUUGUAGUGGAGGUGAAAAUUCCUCCUACCCGCGGCAAGACGGUAAGACCCCGUGGACCUUUACUACAGCUUGACACUGCUACUUGGAUAAGAAUGUGCAGGAUAGGUGGGAGGCUUUGAGUAUAUGACGCCAGUUGUAUAUGAGCCAUUGUUGAGAUACCACUCUUUCUUAUUUGGGUAGCUAACCAGCUUGAGUUAUCCUCAAGUGGGACAAUGUCUGGUGGGUAGUUUGACUGGGGCGGUCGCCUCCCAAAUAAUAACGGAGGCUUACAAAGGUUGGCUCAGAACGGUUGGAAAUCGUUCGUAGAGUAUAAAGGUAUAAGCCAGCUUAACUGCAAGACAUACAAGUCAAGCAGAGACGAAAGUCGGUCUUAGUGAUCCGGUGGUUCUGUGUGGAAGGGCCAUCGCUCAAAGGAUAAAAGGUACCCCGGGGAUAACAGGCUGAUCUCCCCCAAGAGCUCACAUCGACGGGGAGGUUUGGCACCUCGAUGUCGGCUCAUCGCAUCCUGGGGCUGGAGCAGGUCCCAAGGGUAUGGCUGUUCGCCAUUUAAAGCGGUACGCGAGCUGGGUUCAGAACGUCGUGAGACAGUUCGGUCCCUAUCUGCCGUGGGCGUAAGAAGAUUGAAGAGAUUUGACCCUAGUACGAGAGGACCGGGUUGAACAAACCACUGGUGUAGCUGUUGUUCUGCCAAGAGCAUCGCAGCGUAGCUAAGUUUGGAAAGGAUAAACGCUGAAAGCAUCUAAGCGUGAAGCCAACUCUAAGAUGAAUCUUCUCUAAGCUCUCUAGAAGACUACUAGUUUGAUAGGCUGGGUGUGUAAUGGAUGAAAGUCCUUUAGCUGACCAGUACUAAUAGAGCGUUUGGCUUAUCUUUAAUAAAGCAU
rnacentral:rRNA from 1 species